rnacentral:rRNA from 1 species
CGGAGGGUGCAAGCGUUAUCCGGAUUCACUGGGUUUAAAGGGUGCGUAGGCGGGUUUGUAAGUCAGUGGUGAAAUCCCGAAGCUUAACUUCGGAACUGCCGUUGAUACUACAGGUCUUGAAUACUCGGGAGGUGAGCGGAAUAUGUCAUGUAGCGGUGAAAUGCUUAGAUAUGACAUAGAACACCGAUUGCGAAGGCAGCUCACUACAGAGUCAUUGACGCUGAGGCACGAAAGCGUGGGAUCAAACAGGAUU